GACGAACGCUGGCGGCGUGCUUAACACAUGCAAGUCGAACGAUGAAGCCGGAGCUUGCUCUGGUGAAUUAGUGGCGAACGGGUGAGUAACACGUGAGUAACCUGCCCUUGACUGGGAUAACUGCUAGAAAUGGUAGCUAAUACCGGAUACGACCCUCGGCGGCAUCGCCAGGGGGUGGAAAGAAUUUCGGUCAAGGAUGGACUCGCGGCCUAUCAGCUAGUAGGUGAGGUAACGGCUCACCAAGGCGACGACGGGUAGCCGGCCUGAGAGGGUGACCGGCCACACUGGGACUGAGACACGGCCCAGACUCCUACGGGAGGCAGCAGUGGGGAAUAUUGCACAAUGGGCGCAAGCCUGAUGCAGCAACGCCGCGUGAGGGAUGACGGCCUUCGGGUUGUAAACCUCUUUUAGUAGGGAAGAAGCGAAAGUGACGGUACCUGCAGAAAAAGCACCGGCUAACUACGUGCCAGCCGCCGCGGUAA
rnacentral:rRNA from 1 species